rnacentral:tRNA from 1 species
GUAUGUGGGUACUAACGGGAACUGUACCGAAACGCACUCGUAAUGCGUAGGCCGGGGGUUCAAUUCCCUUCACCA